AGCCGCCGCGGUAAUUCGGAGGGUGCGAGCGUUGUCCGGAAUCACUGGGCGUAAAGGGCGCGUAGGCGGCGCGGAGAGUCAACGGUGAAAGCUCGGGGCUCAACCCCGAGUCGGCCGUCGAUACUUCCGUGCUGGAGCACUGUAGAGGCAGGUGGAAUUCCGGGUGUAGCGGUGGAAUGCGUAGAGAUCCGGAAGAACACCGGUGGCGAAGGCGGCCUGCUGGGCAGUAGCUGACGCUGAUGCGCGACAGCGUGGGGAGCAAACAGGAUUAGAUACCCUGGCAGUCCACGCCGUAAGCGAUGGGCACUAGGUGCUUGGGGGAGCGACCCUCUGAGUGCCGGCGCUAACGCAUUAAGUGCCCCGCCUGGGGAGUACGGCCGCAAGGCUGAAACUCAAAGGAAUUGACGG
rnacentral:rRNA from 1 species